CCAGGAUGUUGGCUUAGAAGCAGCCAUCAUUUAAAGAAAGCGUAAUAGCUCACUGGUCGAGUCGGCCUGCGCGGAAGAUGUAACGGGGCUAAACCAUGCACCGAAGCUGCGGCAGCGAACGUAUCACUUAAAGCGAUUCAGCGCGUUACGAUUGACGGAGCGAAGCGACGUCAAAGCGUAUACAAAGUCGAGUCGGUUUAAGGAUACGUUCGUUGGGUAGGGGAGCGUUCUGUAAGCCCGUGAAGGUGGCCUGUGAGGGUUGCUGGAGGUAUCAGAAGUGCGAAUGCUGACAUAAGUAACGAUAAAGCGGGUGAAAAGCCCGCUCGCCGGAAGACCAAGGGUUCCUGUCCAACGUUAAUCGGGGCA
rnacentral:rRNA from 1 species